rnacentral:rRNA from 1 species
AACGUAGGAGGCAAGCGUUAUCCGGAGUUACUGGGCGUAAAGAGUGCGUAGGCGGAUCUGUAAGUGGGUGGUGAAAGCGCCCGGCUAAACCGGGCGAGGUCCAUUCAGACUGCAGGUCUAGAGGCGGAUAGAGGGGUGCGGAAUUCCGGGUGUAGCGGUGAAAUGUGUAGAGAUCCGGAGGAACACCAGUGGUGCAAACGGCGCCCUGGGUCCGAACUGACGCUGAAGCACGAAAGCGUGGGUAGCAAACAGG